UACAGAGGGUGCGAGCGUUAAUCGGAUUUACUGGGCGUAAAGCGUGUGUAGGUGGCUUCCUAAGUCGGUUGUGAAAGCCCCCAGGCUUAACCUGGGAAGUGCUUUUGAUACUGCAGAGCUUGAAUGUGGGAGAGGAUGGUGGAAUUCCUGGUGUAGUGGUGAAAUACGUAGAUAUCAGGAGGAACUCCGGUGGCGAAGGCGGCCAUCUGCCCAACAUUGACACUGAGACCCGAAAGCGUGGGGAUCAAACAGG
rnacentral:rRNA from 1 species